AUUCAUCAACGGUACAACAAUUAAUUUUUAUUCAGAGACUUCUUCGACGGUAGGAUUUCUGUGCCUUAAAUUCUUUAAAGAAGUGGUGGACGUAGAAGACUUUUCAGGAGUUGCAGAAGCAGCUGGUGAAGUGGCUUUUUUUGACAAUUUCUUGGAUUUCCUUGUCUUCUUUACCUCAGAUUUGGAAUUGUGCCAACUCCAUAAAGGUUUAAAGCUAUCACAGAAGCCAACGUCGGCAAGAAGAUUGGGGAAUAGCCAAAUGCCAGGGCGCACGAUGACAGCAGUAAUGCAAAAUAAGAAAAAACGUAAAAUAACCAAAACAAAGAAUAGACCGAUUACUCCAAGGCCUCCCAUACUUAAAUACCAAGCACCCUUGCGCAUAAACAUUGGCCACAAGGGGAACAAAACGAGUGCCAAUACGACAAGAGCGAACAGUACUGCCAAAGCCAUAACGCGUUUUGGAAGAGGCUCGUAGAGCCAAACAUAAUGCAUAUCGUCUUGAAAAUCUUGAUUACGAUUUAUCUGUAAUUCUACAAGCUUCUGCUUUCUUUGUUUAGGGGGGAGUUUAUCAACGCGAACCAGCAUCGAAUUCAUAAUGAGCAAUUUGAGAACUUCGAUUGCUUCCUCACGGCUUGAAAUUUCUGGAAACCCUUUGUAUUUCUUAGGCGUAUACGCUUCGGAUGUUAAAAAGCGAAGAACACGCUUCACACGAAAGUAGUAUACACGUUUUCCAUUGAGGAUCGCUGGCUUUGUUUUCAGCUCAGGGCGAGACUUGAGGAAGUUUGUAAAGCGCAUCGAAAACUUGCACUUGUCUUCAUCCUUCAAAACUGGUACAUUAGAAGAAUCCAUAGGCAAAAUCCUUGUUUGGAAAAAUCUAAAAUAAUGUGGUUCUGGAGUAGAUGAAGUCUGUACACGUCUUUAAGGUAACGAUAUUUAGGUCACGAGGUAAAGCCAAAAUCAAAAUUCAGUAUUAUAGAUUUGGGAAAAUCUAUAUUAUAAAUUUUACAUUUAGUUUAAUCAUUGUUAUUAUCAUGCUGUCGAAUAUUGAUUCAUUCUUUAAGUAAAUUUGUAAAGUUGGAUAGUUCAAAAAGUUAAUUCAGUCUUAAAUUUUUGUGCCUGUGCCCCAUAUUCAUAACUUAAUUAUACUAUAACACUUGAAAAAAAUAUUUGAUUAUUAGGGAGAGUAAAGCACUGAUUAAGGAAUACUAAUCUUCAGAAGUUAACUCUAAAAAAGAUGCUCUUCCUAUUCAACUUAAUUGAUAACAUUCAUUGCUGUUCGACGAGGAAAGCAAAGUCUUCAAAUUCAUUUCAUCAAUAAAUAUUUAUCUAUACAAUUAUUCACUCAUCCAUCAUAUGACUAACCUUCGCAACACAUUAACUAGGAAAUUUUGAUUACAUAAAAGUGAAACAGCAUCAUUAAACAAGUCAAAUUUCCUUUAUUGAAAAAAUCCUCAAAUAUCAAAAAGAUCCAAGUCAUGAAUCUUUUCAGUGAUUGAAUGAAUUUCCUCAUGCAAAGGUGCAAGACUGGAGAGUAAAGUCUCUACCUCAGAAAACUUUCGUUUCGCUUUAGCAUCUUCAAUCAUAUUUUCAACGAGGAAAACUUGCUCCUCUAAAACUAUUCUUGUUUGCAUCAACUCUUCUUGCUUCUUUUCAACUUGCUCUUUCUUCUUUUCUAGCUCACGUUCAGACUCAGAAGUCCAAGCUUGGCCAACCUGCAAAUGGUAAGGAAUGGCCUGCAAACGCAAUAUGGUUUCUUGUAAAUAUCUUUUUGCUUCAUUAACAACAUUCUGCUUAAAUUGUUCUUCAGCAUCAUUGGAUGAGGGAUGAUUGGCGAUUUUUUUCAUAGUUCCAUCAUAUUUCACACAUAGCUCAAGAAAUUUUUUUCGUCUAUCUUUUACUAUUUUCAGGGUCGCUUCAGUGAUUAUUUCACCACUUAGUAAUUCAGACAAAGAAUCCUCGUAAAGUCGAUAGUAAUUUACCAUAGCCUGUCUAAAAACUUGCAAGUGUUCAAUAUGUCGGAUGUAGCCAAGUGAUUUCGAUCUUUCCGUUUGAUAAAGAACGUUACGGAAAUAAUUUUGAUUGCAACUCAUACAGAUGAGGAGAGGUUGCGGGUGUUGAGGAAGACUAAUCUCUAAUACACAGAAUCUGCAGAUCACGCGUCCGCAAAGCCGACAAUGCCGGCGUCUUCUAGUUAGAGUAAAAGAAUUGUUGCAUUCAGGACAAAUUUGUACAACGGAAUCAUCUUGCCAAU